CUGGAGGUAUCAGAAGUGCGAAUGCUGACAUAAGUAACGAUAAAGCGGGUGAAAAGCCCGCUCGCCGGAAGACCAAGGGUUCCUGUCCAACGUUAAUCGGGGCAGGGUGAGUCGACCCCUAAGGCGAGGCCGAAAGGCGUAGUCGAUGGGAAACGGGUUAAUAUUCCCGUACUUGGUGUUACUGCGAAGGGGGGACGGAGAAGGCUAUGUUGGCCGGGCGACGGUUGUCCCGGUUUAAGCGUGUAGGUGUGUGUUCCAGGUAAAUCCGGUUCACUUUAACACUGAGGCGUGACGACGAGGCACUACGGUGCUGAAGCAACAAAUGCCCUGCUUCCAGGAAAAGCCUCUAAGCAUCAGGUAACAUCAAAUCGUACCCCAAACCGACACAGGUGGUCAGGUAGAGAAUACCAAGGCGCUUGAGAGAACUCGGGUGAAGGAACUAGGCAAAAUGGUGCCGUAACUUCGGGAGAAGGCACGCUGACACGUAGGUGAAGUGAUUUACUCACGGAGCUGAAGUCAGUCGAAGAUACCAGCUGGCUGCAACUGUUUAUUAAAAACACAGCACUGUGCAAACACGAAAGUGGACGUAUACGGUGUGACGCCUGCCCGGUGCCGGAAGGUUAAUUGAUGGGGUCAGCGCAAGCGAAGCUCCUGAUCGAAGCCCCGGUAAACGGCGGCCGUAACUAUAACGGUCCUAAGGUAGCGAAAUUCCUUGUCGGGUAAGUUCCGACCUGCACGAAUGGCGUAAUGAUGGCCAGGCUGUCUCCACCCGAGACUCAGUGAAAUUGAACUCGCUGUGAAGAUGCAGUGUACCCGCGGCAAGACGGAAAGACCCCGUGAACCUUUACUAUAGCUUGACACUGAACAUUGAGCCUUGAUGUGUAGGAUAGGUGGGAGGCUUUGAAGCGUGGACGCCAGUCUGCGUGGAGCCGACCUUGAAAUACCACCCUUUAAUGUUUGAUGUUCUAACGUGGACCCGUGAUCCGGGUUGCGGACAGUGUCUGGUGGGUAGUUUGACUGGGGCGGUCUCCUCCUAAAGAGUAACGGAGGAGCACGAAGGUUGGCUAAUCCUGGUCGGACAUCAGGAGGUUAGUGCAAUGGCAUAAGCCAGCUUGACUGCGAGCGUGACGGCGCGAGCAGGUGCGAAAGCAGGUCAUAGUGAUCCGGUGGUUCUGAAUGGAAGGGCCAUCGCUCAACGGAUAAAAGGUACUCCGGGGAUAACAGGCUGAUACCGCCCAAGAGUUCAUAUCGACGGCGGUGUUUGGCACCUCGAUGUCGGCUCAUCACAUCCUGGGGCUGAAGUAGGUCCCAAGGGUAUGGCUGUUCGCCAUUUAAAGUGGUACGCGAGCUGGGUUUAGAACGUCGUGAGACAGUUCGGUCCCUAUCUGCCGUGGGCGCUGGAGAACUGAGGGGGGCUGCUCCUAGUACGAGAGGACCGGAGUGGACGCAUCACUGGUGUUCGGGUUGUCAUGCCAAUGGCACUGCCCGGUAGCUAAAUGCGGAAGAGAUAAGUGCUGAAAGCAUCUAAGCACGAAACUUGCCCCGAGAUGAGUUCUCCCUGAGACUUUAGGUCUCCUGAAGGAACGUUGAAGACGACGACGUUGAUAGGCCGGGUGUGUAAGCGCAGCGAUGCGUUGAGCUAACCGGUACUAAUGAACCGUGAGGCUUAACCUUACAACGCCGAAG
rnacentral:rRNA from 1 species